UACGGAGGGUGCGAGCGUUAAUCGGAAUGACUGGGCGUAAAGGGUGCGCAGGCGGUGUGUUAAGACGGAUGUGAAAGCCCCGGGCUCAACCUGGGAACGGCAUACGUGACUGGCAGACUAGAAUAUGGCAGAGGGAGGUGGAAUUCCACAUGUAGCAGUGAAAUGCGUAGAGAUGUGGAGGAACACCGAUGGCGAAGGCAGCCUCCUGGGGCUGAUAUUGACGCUGAGGCACGAAAGCGUGGGGAGCAAACAGG
rnacentral:rRNA from 1 species